CAGAAGUUAAUUAAAUAGUACGGCUUCUAAAAUAUCUAGUUUCCUGAGCGCCUAUAAUCUACUGGAACAUACUAAGAUACUCAAACGAACAUAGAACACAUUAAAACAGCUAAAUUUUGCUGCCUUCAUUAUUAUUUCUAUUGCGAGCAAGCAAGUCACGAGUCAGAGACACUAAACGUAAGUUUUUUCUUAAAAGCUAUCAUUAAAUUACCCUAAUCAAGAUAUAAUGAAAUGAAACAAAACACACCUACUAUGUACAACAUAAACUUACUCUACUGUACAA